rnacentral:rRNA from 1 species
UACCCGCUGAACUUAAGCAUAUCAAUAAGGGGAGGAAAAGAAACCAACAGGGAUUGCCCUAGUAACGGCGAGUGAAGCGGCAUCAGCUCAAAUUUGAAAUCUGGCUCUUUCAGAGUCCGAGUUGUAAUUUGUAGAGGCAUAUUCGGGAAGCGGUUUAGUCUAUGUCCUUUGGGACAGGGCGUCAUAGAGGGUGAGAAUCCCGUAUGACUUUCCUCGCAACCUAUGUGAAUGGCCUUCUAAGAGUCGAGUUGUUUGGGAAUGCAGCUCUAAUUGGGUGGUAAAUUCCAUCUAAAGCUAAAUACUGGCAAGAGACCGAUAGCGCACAAGUAGAGUGAUCGAAAGGUGAAAAGCACUCCGGAAGGAGAGUUAAACAGCACGUGAAAUUGUUGAAAGGGAAGCACUUGAGAGCAGUACUGGGACUUUGUUCAUCAACCUUCAUUUUUGGAGGUGCACUGGGCUUUGUUCUGGCCAGCAUCAUUUUUGACAGUGGUAUAAUGGCUUGGGGAAUGUAGCUUUCUUCGGAAAGUGUUAUAGACUCAGGUCCAUACCAUUAGUUGGGAAUGAGGUCCGCGCUUCGGCUAGGAUGCUGGCAUAAUGAUCUUAAGUGACCCGUCUUGAAACACGGACCAAGGAGUCUAACAUCUAUGCGAGUGUUUGGGGUGGAAA